rnacentral:rRNA from 1 species
CCUACGGGUGGCAGCAGUGGGGAAUAUUGCACAAUGGGCGAAAGCCUGACGCAGCGACGCCGCGUGGGUGAUGAAGGUCUUCGGAUCGUAAACCUCUGUCAGCAGAGAAGAACGGGCACUGGGCUAAUCAGCAGUGAAUUGACGGUACCUGCAAAGGAAGCAACGGCUAACUCCGUGCCAGCAGCCGCGGUAAUACGGAGGGUGCGAGCGUUAAUCGGAAUUAUUGGGCGUAAAGCGCUCGUAGGCGGUAUGUCAAGUCAAGGGGGAAAUCCCCGCGAUAAACGGGGGAACUGCCUUGGAAACGGCAAACUGGAGUGUGUGAGAGGAUAGUGGAAGUCCAGGUGUAGGAGUGAAAUCCGUAGAUAUCUGGAGGAACAUCAGUGGCGAAGGCGACUAUCUGGCACAUAACUGACGCUGAGGAGCGAAAGCGUGGGUAGCAAACAGGAUUAGAUACCCCGGUAGUC